ensembl:lncRNA
CCCUAGCGAGCUCCAGUCUGAGGAGACGCUCUCUGAUUGUGCACUGUGAGACACACAAUGUCACCACUCACUGGAGCCAUGGACUGGGAGAUACAACAGUGACGGUGUAUUUGUCCAACAAACGUAGUCUACUCGACACUGCAGCCAGUUGCCUGAUUCCUCCACGUCUGCCUGGCAGAGAUGGACCUCUCCAGACUGGCAGCCACAAAGACUUCACCCUGGUUGCCCUGCCAAGAGCCCGGCCACCUCCUACAGCCUCCACUCACACUGCUUCACUUAAAAGAUUCACAACAGGCAGGGGUAUUUUCAAUACUCAGCUGCAUUUCUCUCUCUUUGUGCAUGUAUGUGUAUAUGUAUGUGAGAUCGAUGCAGUCAACUAGAAAGGCCUAUGCAAGGUCAAAACUCUGCAGGCUGACUCUCGCCACCAAUCUUUCCAGAGAACCCAGAAAGUUUCACUCUCAAAGCUCAGAAUAAAUAUUUGUUGACAGUGUGCCAUGCGACUCCCUGUGCCCUGGACACGAUGGAUCUAAAAUAAGGCUCUGCUAAGGGUCUUUCCAAGGUUCUACACAGAAAAACAAAACUGAAAUUUCUCUUGGAAAGCACACUUAAAUGAGUCAGAG